rnacentral:rRNA from 1 species
CAGCCGCCACGGUAAUACGGAGGGUGCAAGCGUUAUCCGGAUUUAUUGGGUUUAAAGGGUCCGUAGGCGGACUUAUAAGUCAGUGGUGAAAGCCUGUCGCUUAACGAUAGAACUGCCAUUGAUACUGUAAGUCUUGAGUAUAUUUGAGGUAGCUGGAAUAAGUAGUGUAGCGGUGAAAUGCAUAGAUAUUACUUAGAACACCAAUUGCGAAGGCAGGUUACCAAGAUAUAACUGACGCUGAGGGACGAAAGCGUGGGUAGCGAACAGGAUUAGAUACCCCCGUAGUCCCUGUCUCUUAUAA